rnacentral:rRNA from 1 species
CGGUUGAUCCCGCCGGAGGUUACUGCUAUCGUUGUUCGACUAAGCCAUGCAAGUCAUAUGUUCCUCGUGAACAUGGCAUACUGCUCAGUAACACGUGGAUAACCUGCCCUUGGGUCUGGGAUAACCCCGGGAAACUGGGGAUAAUAUCGGAUAACGCAUAUGUGCUGGAAUGCUUUAUGCGUAAAACGGAUUCGUCCGCCCAAGGAUGGGUCUGCGGCCUAUCAGGUAGUAGUGGGUGUAAUGUACCUACUAGCCAACAACGGGUACGGGUUGUGAGAGCAAGAGCCCGGAGAUGGAUUCUGAGACAUGAAUCCAGGCCCUACGGGGCGCAGCAGGCGCGAAAACUUUACAAUGCGGGAAACCGUGAUAAGGGAACACCGAGUGCCAGCAUCAUAUGCUGGCUGUCCAGAUGUGUAAACUACAUCUGUUAGCAAGGGCCGGGCAAGACCGGUGCCAGCCGCCGCGGUAACACCGGCGGCCCGAGUGGUGACCGUUAUUAUUGGGUCUAAAGGGUCCGUAGCCGGUUUGGUCAGUCCUCCGGGAAAUCUGAUAGCUUAACUGUUAUGCUUUCGGGGGAU